CCUACGGGAGGCUGCAGUGAGGAAUAUUGGUCAAUGGGCGUAAGCCUGAACCAGCCAAGUCGCGUGAGGGAUGAAGGUUCUAUGGAUCGUAAACCUCUUUUGUAAGGGAAUAAAGUGCGGGACGUGUCCCCUUUUGUAUGUACCUUAUGAAUAAGGAUCGGCUAACUCCGUGCCAGCAGCCGCGGUAAUACGGAGGAUCCGAGCGUUAUCCGGAUUUAUUGGGUUUAAAGGGUGCGUAGGCGGCCUUUUAAGUCAGCGGUGAAAGUCUGGGGCUCAACCCUAGACUUGCCGUUGAAACUGGGAGGCUCGAGUAGGUUUGAGGUAGGCGGAAUGCGUGGUGUAGCGGUGAAAUGCAUAGAUAUCACGCAGAACCCCGAUUGCGAAGGCAGCCUGCCAAGCCAUGACUGACGCUGAGGCACGAAAGCGUGGGUAUCAAACAGGAUUAGAUACCCCAGUAGUC
rnacentral:rRNA from 1 species